rnacentral:misc_RNA from 1 species
UCGACGUCGAUGUCGACGUCGACGCCAUCGCCAUCGCGCGUCUCACUGUCGUCGACGUCGAGCGUCUUGCUGCGUGCGUGCAAACGUGCGUCAAGUUGCGCUGAUUUACGUCAGGCGAUGUGUUAACCGCUCCGCGUUUACGACGUUAACGACAUUAACGGCACUGAGGGCCGAUCGAUCGCGCUCGGUCGAGGUCGACUGGAACGCGCAAGCGAUCCGUGCUGUCGGUGUAUCCGUGGAUUCGCCAAGAUAGUCGGUCUCUCGGUGUUCCCCGAGAGAUCGAUCGCACCUCGCACGAAACGGGAGUAAGUUUGAGGGGUUGGAGACAGCGUGCCGCUGAAAACUACAAGAUCGGAUUGGAGAAAAGUGAAAAACGUAGACUCGCUCGCGAGAGGGAAAUCAGAGAGGAAAGCUCGUUGUGUGUCCCGUGGAAAUCGAGAGCGACGUCCGGUGGAUGAAAUCGCGUUCGCAGAGCUCGUCUCUAGGAGGGAUCUCUAGGAGGAGAGAGGAGGCGCCGCGACGGCGUUUCCACGUGGAGCGAAAUCUAUCGCGAGGCGAGCAGAGAGAGGGAGGAAGGUCGGAAAGCGCGAAAAUAGUGAUAUAGAGCGGAUAUAGAAUUUGAAGAGCGAGAGAGCGACGGCGACGCGCUGCGUCGCGUCGCGUCGCGUCGCGUCGCGCGUGGAGAUCAGCCAAGGGGAAAAGAAAAGAGCACGCCCUUGAGGCUGUGGCGCUCUCGUUCGCUCGGAAGAGGGCGGCUGUCGUUCGCUCUCGUUCGCUCUCGGCUCGGCUCGCCUCUCUCCCCCCGCAUGACGCCCCACUUUAGGCCGCUAGGGCAGCGCAUCCGCCACUGGCCGGUGACGAAAAGGGGCUGAUGUCAGUGCGGCCACUCGGCGGCGUUCGCUCGGUGGAUCGGGAGUUUGUCGUCGGAUGCGCGCGAGCACACGCAUCGCACCGCGAACGCGAACGCGAACGCGAACGAGGCGAGCGAGACUUCCGGUGGCGGUGGCGGCAGUGGCAGCAGCGACGGUGAUGCUCGGCGGCGUCCGCGAGAGAGCAGCGACGAUCGCUGGUGGAUUGGCGGCUGCCGACGACGACGCAUCUGGCGCGCGCGAUCGUGGCUGCCGGCGCGUCGGUCGCUCCGAGGCGCAACUCGAGGAAUAAUGCGUCGUGUUAGGCACGACGUCGCGAGGUGCCGUACGACACGAUUACGACGGUACUACUACGACUACGACGACGACGAGGACGGUGCGACAAGUGGGCCAGCAGCGAGCGCUCGACCGCUACUACCACCGCAGCAGCGCAAUUAUGUACGCGUACGGUUCCGAGAUUACGUAGUGUCGGGCGUGUAAUUAUGUUGUCAUCGUCGCGCGGCGCGCCCUGCGUAGCUUCACGGUGAAAAUCUGGCGUGAACGGUUCCGCGGUGGAACGGGGAAUAUGGCGUCGGUCUCGGCCGAGACUCCAGCCAGCCAUGGGCACAGCUUCAGUAAGAAAACCUUUCACAAGCCGACGUACUGCCAUAGCUGCACGGACAUGCUCUGGGGCCUCAUACAGCAGGGGUACAUCUGCGAAGUGUGUAACUUCGUGGUGCACGACCGCUGUCUCAAGGCCGUCGUCUCUCCCUGCUCCAGCAUCGCGGCAAGCCUGAUCAAGAACCCGGUUGCACACUGUUGGUCCGAACAAGUACAUCGUAAAAGGAAAUUUUGCAACGUUUGUCGGAAACGAUUGGAUGAUAAUCUAUCCAUACAUUGUGAAAUAUGCGAGUACUUCGUGCACAUAGAAUGCCAGGACUUUGCAGUGGCAAACUGUAACGAGAAUGCCACGUAUUUACCUGGGAAGGAACUAUCAGCGGUGAAACACACUCAUCAUUGGCGAGAAGGCAAUCUUCCGAGCAGUUCGAAAUGUGCCGUAUGCAAGAAGAGUUGUUUUUCUGCCGAGUGCCUUUCUGGGUUUCGUUGCGAGUGGUGCGGCAUGACGUUGCACGCAUAUUGUUACAAGAAUAUUCCCCAAGAAUGCACCUUUGGUAACUUGGAACCAAUUUACCUGCCGCCACAUGCAGUUAGUAUUCCGCGUACCGAAGUUCCCAUGGAAGCCAUUAUUGGAGUACAAGUGCGUCGUAAAGAAGUGCUGGCGCGUGAGUAUUCUUGCCAUAACGUCGGAGAGCAAUUCGAUUUCGCUGAGAGUGAACAAAAUGGGGCUGCAGGCCACCUAGCCGAAGCUUUGAGGCGCCUUUCGCUAGUUUUGCCACGUAGCUGCCAUGGAAAUUGUCAUGCUUCCCCUCCUUAUGUUCGAGCAUGUAUGUAUGUUGCGCUUCAGUGCAUGCACUGUCAUUCAGCCCACUGGAUGCUAUGAGAUUCCAUGAUGCUUAUCACUCUACUAUGCAGUCAAAUGAAGUCCAAGAAUACUAUUGAUUAACUCCUCCUAUCGUGUACAAACCCAUCGUAAAUAAUCGAUGCACGGAGCAUAUCAGAAGAAUUUAGUAGCGAUGCAAGGUAUCGUGAUAAUGGGGAACCGGCACAGGGCGCAGCACACAGCCGUGAUCCGCGUUCUCCCAAAGAGAAAGAAGACAAAGAAA